rnacentral:rRNA from 1 species
CUCAGUUCGGAUUGGAGGCUGAAACCCGCCUCCAUGAAGUUGGAUUCGCUAGUAAUCGCGCAUCAGCCAUGGCGCGGUGAAUACGUUCCCGGGCCCUUGUACACACCGCCCGUCAAGCCAUGGAAGCUGGGGGUGCCUGAAGUUCGUGACCGGAAGGAGCGACCUAGGGCAAAACCGGUGACUGGGGCUAAGUCGUAACAAGGUAAC